rnacentral:rRNA from 1 species
AGCAGCCGCGGUAAUUCCAGCUCCAAUAGCGUAUAUUAAAGUUGUUGCAGUUAAAAAGCUCGUAGUUGAAUUUCGGGAUCAGUACGCUGGUCGUGCCUUCGGUAUGAACUGGUGUCACUGGUUCCUCCCUUCUGAAGAACCGUCAUGCCAUUCAGUUGGUGUGGCGGGGAAUCAGGACUGUUACUUUGAAAAAUUAGAGUGUUUAAAGCAGGCUUGCGCUUGAAUACAUUAGCAUGGAAUAAUGAAAUAGGACGUUUGACCCUAUUUGUUGGUUUCUAGGAUCGACGUAAUGAUUAAUAGGGAUAGUUGGGGGCAUUAGUAUUCAAUUGUCAGAGGUGAAAUUCUUGGA